CUUUUGUGGGGUGCUCGAGUGGCGAACGGGUGAGUAACACGUGAGUAACCUGCCCUUGACUUUGGGAUAACUUAAGGAAACUGGGGCUAAUACCGGAUAGGAGCUCCUGCUGCAUGGUGGGGGUUGGAAAGUUUCGGCGGUUGGGGAUGGACUCGCGGCUUAUCAGCUUGUUGGUGGGGUAAUGGCCUACCAAGGCGGCGACGGGUAGCCGGCCUGAGAGGGUGUACGGCCACAUUGGGACUGAGAUACGGCCCAG
rnacentral:rRNA from 1 species